AUAGCUUGCUAUCUGCUGACGAGCGGCGGACGGGUGAGUAAUGCUUGGGAAUAUGCCAUAUGGUGGGGGACAACAGUUGGAAACGACUGCUAAUACCGCAUAACGUCUACGGACCAAAGAGGGGGACCUUCGGGCCUCUUGCCAUUUGAUUAGCCCAAGUGAGAUUAGCUAGUUGGUGAGGUAAUGGCUCACCAAGGCGACGAUCUCUAGCUGGUUUGAGAGGAUGAUCAGCCACACUGGGACUGAGACACGGCCCAGACUCCUACGGGAGGCAGCAGUGGGGAAUAUUGCACAAUGGGCGAAAGCCUGAUGCAGCCAUGCCGCGUGUGUGAAGAAGGCCUUCGGGUUGUAAAGCACUUUCAGUUGUGAGGAAAGGGGUGUAGUUAAUAGCUGCAUCCUGUGACGUUAACAACAGAAGAAGCACCGGCUAUCUCCGUGCCAGCAGCCGCGGUAAUACGGAGGGUGCGAGCGUUAAUCGGAAUUACUGGGCGUAAAGCGUGCGUA
rnacentral:rRNA from 1 species